rnacentral:misc_RNA from 1 species
GCCAAGAGUUGUAUCUAAAACAUCAUAACCACUGAGUUAUAAAGGUAAAAAUCCUUUAAAAACAAUCAUAGAAGAAGAUAUAAGUAAAAAAUGACACUAUAUACCAUACUGUCAUCAACUAACACAUUGUGUAAACACCUAACAGUUUAAAUUCUGCAUUGAUUACAACGCUUUCAUUAUUAGCUAUUUAUGAGCACAAAAAAUUCAAACUCUAUAGAAUAUCAUCAAAUUCAAAUUUAUGGCAAGAUCCUUGAGAUCUUACCUUAAUGAUUUGAG